UACCGCAACGGUUCUCCUGUUUUAAUCAGUUAGCGCACGGCUCUGCAAAGAGCCAUUCCCCUGGGCCAGAUACAGGAAUCGUGUCUGGCCUCUUUUU
rnacentral:sRNA from 1 species